GAUGAACGCUGGCGGCGUGCCUAAUACAUGCAAGUCGAGCGAACGGACGAGAAGCUUGCUCUUCUGAUGUUAGCGGCGGACGGGUGAGUAACACGUGGAUAACCUACCUAUAAGACUGGGAUAACUUCGGGAAACCGGAGCGAAUACCGGAUAAUAUUUUGAACCGCAUGGUUCAAAAGUGAAAGACGGACUUGCUGACACUUAUAGAUGGAUCCGCGCUGCAUUAGCUAGUUGGUAAGGUAACGGCUUACCAAGGCAACGAUGCAUAGCCGACCUGAGGGGGUGAUCGGCCAAACUGGAACUUAGACACAGUCCAGGCUCCUACGGGAGGAAGCAGUAUGGAAUCUUCCGCAAUGGGCGAAAGCCUGACGGAGCAACGCCGCGUGAGUGAUGAGGGUCUUCGCAUCGUAAAACUCUGUUAUUAGUGAAGAACAUUUUUGUAAGUAACUGUGCACAUCUUGUCCGUACCUAAUCAGAGCACCACGGCUAACUACGUG
rnacentral:rRNA from 1 species